ACUUGGUGAUGUGGGCAAUUGCGCAAGAGGUCACUAAAGCGCUCCCAUGUCUCGAAAAACAGUUCCCUAUCCAAUUGUAAGAAACUGGUGAUGGCUUUCCUCAACU